UCCUACGGGAGGCAGCAGUGGGGAAUAUUGCACAAUGGGGGAAACCCUGAUGCAGCCAUGCCGCGUGUGUGAAGAAGGCCUUCGGGUUGUAAAGCACUUUCAGUUGUGAGGAAAAGUUAGUAGUUAAUACCUACUAGCCGUGACGUUAACAACAGAAGAAGCACCGGCUAACUCCGUGCCAGCAGCCGCGGUAAUACGGAGGGUGCGAGCGUUAAUCGGAAUUACUGGGCGUAAAGCGCACGCAGGCGGUUUGUUAAGCUAGAUGUGAAAGCCCCGGGCUCAACCUGGGAUGGUCAUUUAGAACUGGCAGACUAGAGUCUUGGAGAGGGGAGUGGAAUUCCAGGUGUAGCGGUGAAAUGCGUAGAUAUCUGGAGGAACAUCAGUGGCGAAGGCGACUCCCUGGCCAAAGACUGACGCUCAUGUGCAAAAGUGUGGGUAGCGAACAGGAUUAGAUACCCUGGUAGUCCACACCGUAAACGCUGUCUACUAGCUGUGUGUGCCUUUAAGGCGUGCGUAGCGAAGCUAACGCGCUAAGUAGACCGCCUGGGGAGUACGGCCGCAAGGUUAAAACUCAAAUGAAUUGACGGGGGCCCGCACAAUCGGUGGAGCAUGUGGUUUAAUUCGAUGCAACGCGAACAACCUUACCUACACUUGACAUGCUGAGAAGUUACUAGAGAUAGUUUCGUGCCUUCGGAACUCAGACACAGGUGCUGCAUGGCUGUCGUCAGCUCUGUCGUGAGAUGUUGGCUAAGUCCCGCAACGAUCGCAACCGUGUCUCAGUUGCCAGCAUAUUCUGCGCACUUCUAUGCAGACUGCCCGUGACAAAUCGGAAUCACUGCGGUAACACAACUACAUAAUCUUGGCACUUUUAAUGUG
rnacentral:rRNA from 1 species